CAACAGCUUCUGGAGAAUAGUAGGCAUCUCCACCUGCAGAUGUCCCAGAGCAUGCCACCAUCCCAAACUGCCAAUUUCCUUCUUCUGAGUUUUACUCAGGCAGUAUGUCUGCUUGGUAAAAACUAGGUCACAUAUGGGUUUCCAGUUGCAAGAGAGUCUGGGAAAUGGUGGCUGACAACACGGUAACCAACUUCCAUCUGAGGGAGCAGAUGAGACAGAAGGCAAGAGGAAGCACCCAAGAUGGACGCCAUAUUCUUUUACUAUGGAAUCCAUCACUUCUGCUGAUUUUUGUUCAUUAGAGACAAGCCAGGAAGUCCAACCUACCUGGAGAAGAAGGGAUUACAGAAUGGUGUGAACACCAGGAUGGGGGCUCACAGGGGCCACUGUGGAGACUGUCUUUCACCCCUCUUCUCUUUCAUGCCCCUCUCACCCAGAAGUAACCACCAUUAAUUCUUUCAGAGGGUUCAAAAAGAAAGAAUUGGAUUUAAAUCAAUUUUCCAAGAUUAAACUGGAAGUGCUCCAAUGGUUUCUGCUAAGAUUUAAAUGUCAACCACUUUUCAGUGCCGUAAAUGUCAUCAUCCCCUCUGCCAAGUGGACCAGAUGAGCACUGAAACUCACAGCUUGCCUUCAAGUAAAAAAGCCUCAGCUUACCUUUGGCUGGAAGAUUGAUUCUGUGGCCCUCCUGAUUGAAGCAGGACAUGUGCCAGGCCUCACUCCCGUUGUGGUACCCAGACUCUGCCCACCAGCUGUGCUUCACCUGCCUGCGGAGGGCUGUUCCUGCUUGCCUAGUGAUGUGGACCAGCUCUGGUUUGGCCAACUCUACAGCUUCUCCACCAG
rnacentral:lncRNA from 1 species